rnacentral:misc_RNA from 1 species
GAAACGCGAUAGUUAAUGUGAAUUGCAGAAUUCAGUGAAUCAUCGAGUCUUUGAACGCACAUUGCGCCCAUAGGUAUUCCUUUGGGCAUGUCUGUUUGAGCGUCAUUUCAAACCCUCAAGCACGGCUUGUGUGAUGGGCGACGCGUCCGCUCCGGUAGCGGACGGGCCCCAAAUGGAGUGUGCGGCGCGGUGCGCUUGGCUGCAGUGUAUGGGAACAUCUCACACUCGCGGUGCGUCACCACGCUCGUCUCUAGACAUCUUCUCUCGGUUUGACCUCGGAUCAGGUAGGGAUACCCGCUGAACUUAAGC